AGCUCCAGGGGUGUAUAUUAAUGUUGCUGUGGUUAAAACGCUCGUAGUCGGACAUCAGCUGGACCAACCUGGUCUACCCUCUGAGGUGUGCACUGGGUGCUUUGGCUUCUCUGUUGGUGUGGCCCUGCGCUUUGCUGCGUAGUGCUGUUUGACAGUUUUUCACUUUGAGGAAAAUAGAGUGCUCUAAGCAAGCAAAGCUGUAAACACUUUAGCAUGGAAUGAUGACUGGACUACUUCCCUUGUUUGUUGGAUUCUUAGGGGUCUUGGUAUUGAUAGGUAGGGAUGGUUGGGGGCAUUCAAAUUCAACUGUCAGAGGUGAAAUUCUUGGAUUUGUUGAGGUUGAACUACUGCGAAAGCAUUUGCCAAGGAUGUUUUCUUUGAUCAAGAACGAAAGUACGCA
rnacentral:rRNA from 1 species